rfam:Fervidicola ferrireducens strain Y170 AN618_contig000018, whole genome shotgun sequence.
UAACCCAUGCUGAAAGGCAUGGCUGAACCGGCAGGAGUCAGCAGAGGGCAUAGUACCUUGGAGGUCAUGAACUUCGAGGGAAGGCC